rnacentral:rRNA from 1 species
GACGAACGCUGGCGGCGCGCCUAACACAUGCAAGUCGAACGAGCGAGCGAGAGCUUGCUUUCUUGAGCGAGUGGCGAACGGGUGAGUAACGCGUGAGGAACCUGCCUCAAAGAGGGGGACAACAGUUGGAAACGACUGCUAAUACCGCAUAAGCCCACGUGCCGCCUUCGGGUUGAGGGAAAAGGAGCAAUCUGCUUUGGGUUGGCCUCGCGUCCGAUUAGCUUGAUGGUGAGGUAACGGCCCACCAAUGCGACGGACGGUAGCCGGACCGAGAGGCUGAACCGCGACAUUGGAGAUGAGCAACGGCCCGGACUCCUACGGGAGGCGGCAGAGGGGAAUAUAGCACAAUGGGGGAAGUCGUGAUGCAGCGACGCCGCGUGGAGGAAGAAGGUGUUUGGAUAGUAAUCUCCUGUUGUUGAGGAAGAUAAUGACGGUACUGAACAAGGAAGUGACGGCUAACUACGUG